UGGGGAAUCUUGGACAAUGGGCGAAAGCCUGAUCCAGCGACGCCGCGUGGAGGAAGAAGUCCUUCGGGAUGUAAACUUCUGAACUAGCCGAAUAAAAGGCCUGUGGACACACAGGAGAAGAAAGUAGGCUAGGAAAAGUCCCGGCUAACUACGUGCCAGCAGCCGCGGUAAGACGUAGGGGGCAAGCGUUACCCGGAAUUACUGGGCGUAAAGGGGGCGUAGGCGGUAAAAGAAGUCAUCUGUGAAAACCUAUUGCUCAACGAUAGGCUAGCGGAUGAAACUGAAUUACUUGAGGGCACCAGAGGUAGACGGAAUUACCCGAGUAGGGGUGAAAUCCGCAGAUACGGGUAGGAACGCCGGUGGAGAAGUCGGUCUACUGGGGUGCACCAGACGCUGAGGCCCGAAAGCUAGGGGAGCAAACCGG
rnacentral:rRNA from 1 species